UUAGUGAUCCGGUGGUUCUGUAUGGAAGGGCCAUCGCUCAACGGAUAAAAGGUACUCCGGGGAUAACAGGCUGAUACCGCCCAAGAGUUCAUAUCGACGGCGGUGUUUGGCACCUCGAUGUCGGCUCAUCACAUCCUGGGGCUGUAGCCGGUCCCAAGGGUAUGGCUGUUCGCCAUUUAAAGUGGUACGCGAGCUGGGUUUAGAACGUCGUGAGACAGUUCGGUCCCUAUCUGCCGUGGGCGCUUGAAACUUGAGGGAAUCUGCUCCUAGUACGAGAGGACCGGAGUGGACGAUCCGCUGGUGUUCCGGUUGUAUCGCCAGAUGCAUUGCCGGGUAGCUACGAUCGGUCGGGAUAACCGCUGAAAGCAUCUAAGCGGGAAGCCCCUCCCAAGAUUAGGUUUCACUGGACCCUUGAGGUCCCUGUAGGGCCCUGGAAGACGACCAGGUUGAUAGGCUGGGUGUGGAAGUGCGGUAACGCAUGAAGCUAACCAGUACUAAUUGCCCGUGAGGCUUGGUCAU
rnacentral:rRNA from 1 species